CAUUCAUCACCUGGUUCACUCCUGUUACUAAAUCGUGAUACUCUUCCUUCUUCUUUUCUGUUGUCCUUGUUAUUGUUUUCUCUUUUUGCUGCUGCUGUUAGUUACUGUGGUUUGAGGAGCGAAAUUCGAUCUCAUAUGCUUUGUUCAUGUUGUGGCUCGCUUCGAUUUACCUCAUUUAUUACCGAAUUCAGUGAUUUCUUCACCGCCGUUAGGGAUCGAGCCUUCGAGUUUGUUCUGGAAUGUUCUUUCGAGUGGAUGUGCCAGCUCCAUGGAGGCUUGCUCGGGCGGCGCAUGUGAGUUUCAUGGUUGAUUGCGGAGGCGCGUUGGUCUCCGAUCUCUCCCAGACGAACGCUUGGACGGCGUUCAGAAUCAAAAUCAUGAAUAACUUAAAUCCCUAACCCCAACCCUAACACAAUUUCCCCAAUUUCACAACACUGAUGUGCGCAUUCUGCGUUUCUCUCUGCUCUGCCGAGUUCUGAUCUACUCUGCCGUGUUGUUCUGCUCCGCUGUGUUCUUCUCCUCGCAUCGAGUUCUGCUUUGCUCCACCAUGUUCUUCUGCUCACGCCGAGAAAUUUCAUGUAACUCAAUUAGAUUACAGUAAGGCCAUCUGUAGAUAAAUGUGAGGCAGAGUUGUUAAGCAAGAAAUAUGAGGAGAAGUACAAACAUUGUAGCAGAAAUAACAUCUAAAUUGAUUGUUGAAGAAGCUAAAUUUUGUGAUAUACAGGAGAAAAGAGGGACUGCACGGGGAUUCAGUUUAAGCCACCUGGGUGUUGGGUCCACUUCCAUGGUUGAAGGUGGUCAAGAGAAAAGCGCGUUUUGGAUUCAGAACUUUGGCAUGCAUGUGCUGGUCCCUUUGUUUCUUUACCAGUUGUUGGAAGCUGAGUCGUGUACUUUUCACAAGGUCACAGUGAACAGAAGCAUGCAAAUUGCUGAGGCUCUCCAAAUGCAAAUGGAGGUGCAGAAGAAACUUUAUAAGCAAAUUGAGGUGCAGAGACAUUUGCAGCUUAAGAUUGAAGCACAAGGGAAGUACUUGCAAUCAGGACUACACAAGGCACAAGAAACACUUGCAGGAAUGAUCAACAAUGGCAGCCCGGGAUCUCCUCCGAUUUCGGAACUGAUAGAAACAAGAGGAGGGUUCAGUUGGAGCUGUGGGCAGAGGAAACAGAACAGAGGAACCAUGUGUUCACUUGAAAUUUAAAGUUCUUUGACAUCUUCUGAAAGCUCAAUGGAUCAAAGGCCUAAUAGUACUAACACUACUAAUACUGCUUCACUUGAAUUGUUGCCACUCUUCAAAGAAUCUAAGGAACAAGAAGAUGAAUCUAUUAUUAGGAGAAAGAGGAGUUCAAGCUGCUUUGUUGAUCAGCCAUCAAAGAUGAGCAGAUCUAAAUUAUUAUAUAAAGCUGUGUUCUUCCAAGGAUGCCAGCUUCUCGUCAUCAUGGAAAAGGGUUUGCUUGCAACUUUCAAGCACCACACUCAGCUUCCCUCUCUGCUAAAGGACAAUGUUUAACUUUUUAACAAGGAAAUAUGUGAGAAAGAUUCUCAAGCGUAAAGUCAGUGAUGCUAGUGAAAAAGUAGAUUCAGCUCCCUCUAAAGAAACAGAUCAUGCUCAACAGCUCAAGUAUGCUUCACACUUCAAAGGGAUAACAUCAAUGCAUCAACAAUAGGAUUUAGCAUAUGGGACAAGUCAAGCAUGGAUAUAAAAUAUGCAAGUCAAUUGAUAUUUUUUGGAUAAUUAUUAAUUACUGUUAUGACAAGUAUUGUUAGACAAGAAUUUUAUUAUUUUGUUGAAAAUUAUUGAUAAA